GUUGCCAUUUAAUGGAGGACAUUUACUAAUUGUUUUGUAUACAUUUGGUAUGUGUGUGUGUGUGUGUGUGUUUGUCUGUCUGUCUGGUUUGCAGUUGUGUGUUUAUCUGUUUAUGAACAGCACCAGGGUGUUUGUGUGCACUGUCCCACUGUUUCGCCAGAAAAUGAGAAGACACCUGCUUGGAGAUUCAGGAGCUGGCUGUCAAAAACAGGAAAGAAAGUGAGGCGGGAGGAGACAGGGAAAAAAGAAUGAAAUGAAGAAGAAGAAAAAAAAACAGCCAGGCAGCCAGGAGAUAUAUCUAUUCUGGCUCCCUGCUUCCCUCAAGCUGCUGCUCCUCUGCUCUGAUUGGUUUCACCUGUGACCAGUUCCCCAGCUCCAUGUGAACCACUGUCACUGAACUCUCCCUUGAUCUUAACUGGAUUCCGUCUCCUGUCCUUCCUGACUAGUUUCCUGAGGUGAGGUGCUGUUUCAUCCCAUGCUACCCAUCAAAAUGAUGCCUUGGUCAGCAAGGGGACAACUUCAUCUCAUGACUGCAAAAUUGCCAAGUAAGAAGAACAGUCCUCAGAAUGAUGCAGUGGCUCAUUCGUUGUGAAAACUGGGGUCAGAGCAACAACAACCAAGACUACUGUAAAUCUGGGGUUCGAAGAACAUCAUCCAUGAGGUUCGACUUCUAAUGUGCAGGUUUGACUGAGUCGUCCUGCAGGGCAGUAAUGUCUCUCACCACCUGAUCAUCACUGCUGACUCUUUGAGGCCUUUCUGUGCUCACACAUGAAGUGAACGUUCCACUUGGACUAAUCUUGCCCGGAAGGAUAGUCUCUAAAUUUUUGGGAAUUAAAGGUGAUGGUGUUCAUAUCCCAGAAGAAUCCAAAGACCAAAGAAAUUCUCCCUUAAGUUGUGUCUGAUUCUAAACCAGGGCUGCUCAAUGUGACAACUACAGACACAAGGAAAGGUCUGCUGAUGAGAUGGACAUCCGUUACGCUGUGCCAUCAUCUCCCUCCAGGUCAUGUCAGGUAGGAGUGUCUCUAUUACUAUAUAUACGGUGAAUGUUGCAUAUCGCCCAAACGAAAAAAGUUUAUAUCCUGGAGACAUAAACUCCAAACUAGCAACAACAUAUCUGAAGAACUUUCAAACCACACUGACCUUCUGUAAACCCUUGUGGAAUAGAAAACAAAUGAUAUCUUUCUUUGUCCUGGAGCAGCAGGACAGCAGUGCUGUGUUUAGGUGUUCUUCAGAAGUCAAUAUGGCACUAUGGAAACAAACUGCAUCUGCAACUAAUGGCCAAGAAGAAAGCACUCAGAGCAGAGCAGAGACCGAACUUUAAGAACUAAUAAUCUCCCCAGUUAGCCAUUACUACCACACACAAACAAAGGCAGCACAGGGCGGACGACAGAGAGAGUACGGUGGCCAGAGAGGCAGUAAAAUAUUGAACGUUCCUACUUAACAGGUCAAGUAAACCACCAGGUCUCCGGCAUCAAACACUUUGGCUGUGUGUGCAGUAUGCAAUGAUGCUGUGCUCUCUGAGUUCCAGUUUGGAAGAAUGAUGCUGGAAAUCAAUAGUGUUUCUGUCUCUCUUUGUUAAGAGCCAAAGUCAGAAAACACUUUUGAUCACAUAUUGAUAUUUAGACGUGUUUAUUUCCAAUUUAUUUUACUUUUAAG